rnacentral:pre_miRNA from 1 species
UUUUCGUUUUUCCGUGUCCAACGUUUAAUCAUUCAUCUUAUUUCAAUUUUUUUGACAAUUAAUAUUUUUAUUGUUACUAGAUGAUAAAAUAUGAAUAAUACUUUAUACAUGACUAUUUUUUAAAGUUUUUUACAAAUGUUUCAAAUAAGACGAAUGGUCGACACGAAAAAC